rnacentral:rRNA from 1 species
GACGAACGCUGGCGGCGUGCUUAACACAUGCAAGUCGAACGGAAAGGCCCUGCUUUUGUGGGGUGCUCGAGUGGCGAACGGGUGAGUAACACGUGAGUAACCUGCCCUUGACUUUGGGAUAACUUCAGGAAACUGGGGCUAAUACCGGCUAGGAGCUCCUGCUGCAUGGUGGUGGUUGGAAAGUUUCGGCGGUUGGGGAUGGACUCGCGGCUUAUCAGCUUGUUGGUGGGGUAGUGGCUUACCAAGGCUUUGACGGGUAGCCGGCCUGAGAGGGUGACCGGCCACAUUGGGACUGAGAUACGGCCCAGACUCCUACGGGAGGCAGCAGUGGGGAAUAUUGCACAAUGGGCGGAAGCCUGAUGCAGCAACGCCGCGUGCGGGAUGACGGCCUUCGGGUUGUAAACCGAUUUCGCCUGUGACGAAGCGUGAGUGACGGUAAUGGGUAAAGAAGCACCGGCUAACUACGUG